rnacentral:rRNA from 1 species
AACGAACGCUGGCGGCAUGCCUAACACAUGCAAGUCGAACGAGACCUUCGGGUCUAGUGGCGCACGGGUGCGUAACGCGUGGGAAUCUGCCCUUGGGUUCGGAAUAACAGUUAGAAAUGACUGCUAAUACCGGAUGAUGACUUCGGUCCAAAGAUUUAUCGCCCAGGGAUGAGCCCGCGUAGGAUUAGCUUGUUGGUGAGGUAAAAGCUCACCAAGGCGACGAUCCUUAGCUGGUCUGAGAGGAUGAUCAGCCACACUGGGACUGAGACACGGCCCAGACUCCUACGGGAGGCAGCAGUGGGGAAUAUUGGACAAUGGCGAAAGCCUGAUCCAGCAAUGCCGCGUGAGUGAUGAAGGCCUUAGGGUUGUAAAGCUCUUUUACCCGGGAUGAUAAUGACAGUACCGGGAGAAUAAGCCCCGGCUAACUCCGUGCCAGCAGCCGCGGUAACAC